GGGAAGAGGGCGAUCCAACAGAAGCCAGGGACAUUCUAAUUCAUUUUCUCUCACAAGCGGUUGCCUAGUGCUAAGUUUGAACUUGGUGGAUAAUGAAAUUCCCCUCCCGUAGACUGCUAUCUAGCCCAGUUCUUCUAUGAGGGUCUGGACGGAGACCGGAAAGAGGGGGGAGGCUGGGAUGGAGGGAGGGGGGAAGUAGGGGGCGGAGGGAGGCAGGGAGGGGAGGCGUUAGUUGUGGCGCGGUUAGUAUGACCUGUCUUUUAGGAGAAAGCAUCUUCUUCACACGGGCCCUGACCACUCAGGGCAAGAGUCCAAAAUGCAAAAUAGCCAUUGAGUGGCUUUAGCUUGGCAGGGACACCGGAGCUAUGUGUCCCCCCUCAGUUAGCUGGCCUGGGGCUUAAUGAGAUGCAAAUGGGUGGGACGCUGUCCAUCAAGCGGAGUCUAAUCCCUUUGUUCCUACCUGCCUGUCCGGGCUACCGUUUUUUUUAAACCCAAUUUUGGCUCUAAGGACAGCUGCUAGGUGCUAAUGGGGAGAGUUGGGUAAUACGGUUAGGGUUGCCUGGUAACCAUAGCCAGUGGAUUGGAGAGGGCCUCAGGUGGCUGAUGGGAAGGAAGCAUUGCCAUUGGGCUGGGGUUUUUUGUGUUUUUUUUUUUUUGGUGUUUUUUGUUUUUCUUUUCUGGCUCAAUGUUCUUUGUAAAGAGGGCUCCAGGGACCACAGGGCUCUGGGGAAGGGAGGGAGGCAGAUUUCCAAACCAUCCAGGUUGGUGUCUGACCCCAGAGCAUUUAGUGGGACUGGCUAACUGGCAGCUGGGAAAUCACUGGCAAGGAAGCUUUGGACAUCUUGAGUAAAGGUCACGGGGCUGACAUGAAUCCAAAUUCCAUAGUGACAGCUGCCUCAUCUACAGACUAUCAUAAUGGCCUCCUAAUUGGUUUUCCAGCACCCAGUUUCUCAUGUCUCCAAUCUGUCCUUCAGAUAGCUGCCAAAAUGAUCCUAAAACAUGAAUCCAACCAUGUAACUCUCCUGCUCAUUUAAAGGAAGAUCUCUGCCUUGAUGAUGAGUUUACCUGGGAGGAGUCAUGGAGGGACAUCUCUUACAGGGGCCAGGGGAGUAAGUAAGCACAAUUAUUGCUCCCCUGGCACAGACAUCAAGUCUCUCUAAGAAGAAAAAUGAGAAAGAACAACAGAAAGAAAAAGGAAAAAAAAUCCCCCAAGCACCCCUAAAUGAGCCAUGUGGGAUGCAUGAGAAUUGUUCAAAAAGUGCUUUUAUGAGGUAUUUUUAAGCAGUUGAUUUUAUUACAAGGCAAGUAAUUAUGACAAGGUUUUAAACAACACCUUAUUGCCACUUUCCGACAUAAUCUCCUAACAGACUCAAACAUGGAUCUCAGCGUGGGAGAGUCUUCCUGAUGCUGGCUCAGUAAACACACAGGCCUUCAUUUUUAAGCACGGUGGGAUAGUUAACUGUUUCCAAGCAUAGAAUCAUGUGGAGAGGUUGGCACAUUACUUUGAUAACCAUUUUCUGUUGAAAACAUCCUCUCCAUACAAUUCAGCAAGUUGGUUAUGAAUUAAUGCAGGGGGAAUAUUUUCUGUGACCAAAAGUUGAAUCAGAGCACACACCAAUUCAAUUUUAAAAAGCACCUACCAACAAGUCCAAGACACUGUCCCAAGACAGAUAAAAAAUUAAAACAAUCCGUGACCUCAAAGAGCUUAUAUUCUUCUUGGAACUCUGCUCUUUUCUAGAUGUAGGCUCUAAGGAAGGGAAUAGAGAACAAGCAUUUAUUUGAUACCUAUCAUGUGCUAGGCACUGGGUUAAGCACUUUACAAAUAUUGUCUCGUUUCAUCCUUACAACAACCUUGUGAGUUACGUGCAACUGAGGAAACUCGGGCAGAUAGAGGUUAAUUGACUUAAUUGACAGAAGUUAAUUGAUUGCAUAGGUAAAGUCUGAGGCUGGAUUUGAACUCAUAUUUUCCUGACUCCAGGAUCAAUGUUCUAUUCACUGCAUCCCCUAGUUGUAUCCAAGAGGAUUAGCUAUCAUGAAUAAAGAGUACCAAAUUACAGUUAUGACUGACACACUUCAUAUACCUAACUCCACAUAUCUAGCAAAAUGUAUAGUCAACAAAAUUAUUCUCUAAUGUCCAAGACGAGACAACUGUUGAUCCCCCUUUGUUUUUGAAGAGGACCGAUGAUGUCUCGAGGGUGAUAUCUUAACUUGCAUGUGAGUUGGCUUUAAGUGAAGCAAAUUUGCACAAAGUGAUUGACCUUCCCCUUUCUUCCAGAGUCAUCAAAGCCCAGUGGCAGGACAAAUGUCAAGAUAACUAAUGAUGGCCCAGGAUUCAGUGGAUGAUGAAGUACUUGCUGGUUUCAAUUGCCUGCAUGGCUACAUCCUCCUUCCCCAAUCCAAACGUGGCAAGUGCAUCAGAGAGUUAUACACCAAAGAGCUUUGUGGCAUUUUUAGGAAGAAGGGCAGUCACUAAAAAAGUUUUCAUGGAAAAGUUGGCUCUUGAAUUGGAUUUUAAAGAUGGGAGAAAUUCAAUAGGUGAAGAGAGGGAGAACAUUUGAAGUAUAGGAAAAAAUGAGGUGAGGGGCUUUUGGAGAGUUGACAUAAUCUGGUUUGGCUAGAGAUUAGGUGGAAUAGAGGGGAGGAACAUGGGGGAAAACUGGAAGAUGAGGAGUAGAGAGGGAACCUUGAGGGCCAGGUCAUAGAAUUUGAAUAUUAUUGUUGUUCAGUAAUUUUCAGUCAUAUCUGACUCUAUGACCCAUUCAGGGUUUUCUUGGCAAGGAUACUAGAAUGGUUUGCAAUUUCCUUCUCUGUUCAUUUUACAAAUGAGAAACUAAGGCAAACAGGGUUAAAUGACUUGUCCAGGAUUGUGUAACCAUUGUACAUGAGUAACCAUGAGGCUGGAUUUGAACUCAUGAAGAUGAUUUUUCCUGAUUCCAACCCCAGUGCUCUAUUCACUGUAUCACCUCGCUGUCCAAUAAAUAGGAAAUAGGUUUUCAUUGAAGAUUUUUGAAUAGGCACAAGAUAUAAUCAGAUCCAUGCUUUGAAAAAAUUAUUCUGGCCAUGGUACAAAGGAUGCUUUGCCAGCAGGAGGCAGAAGGUCCAGUUCUUAUCUAUCCCUGGUGGGAAGAGCAGUAUCUGGCACAAUACAAGCUUUUAAUAAAUGUCUGUUGAAUUGACGAUACCCUAUUGGUUCAUUAUAACAGUUAAAGCAGGGCAUAGGAAUGGAACCUCUUUGUAUCUCUAGAUCUCUUUUGUAGAUAGCCCCAGUCAACCAGUCUAUCAAAUCUAAUUCUUACAAGUUUUGUUGAUUGAAUUUGAUGAGCAAUUACCUAUUAUGUGCCAGGUACUGUACUAUGCCUGAGAAAUAUGAAGACCAAAAGGAAAAUGGACCCUGCAUUCUAUUGAUUUCUGCCUCAUAAUAUAACUCCUCUCCAUACUCUUUCUUCUUUUCAAAAGGAUAUUUUGGAUUAUGAACAUAAUAGGUAUUGACGAACACAAACAUUUUAAUAUAGAAAGAGGGAGACAAGCAUAUAAAACUGUGAACUUCUGACAUAUGCAGUUUGUAUAUAUGUAACUUUGUUUUUUGUAAAAAUAAAAACAAACAGGGUAGUGAUAAAACUGCCUUGUUUGUCUAUGUCACUGUCUGAACUUCCUUCUGUUCUCAUCUAUUUAUCUUUUAAAAAUGAGUCUUUGGAGUUCUUUUCUUUCUUUUUUUAGUGUUCUUAUCUCUAUCUCCCUUUCUCCCUCUCCAUUUCUUCCUAAAAGAGAAAUGAAGAACUCUCCUUUGUACCAAAAAGUAUAGUUAUGCAAACCAAAUUCAAAUAUUGGCUACAUAUGAAAAAAAGAUAGUCCCAUCUGCAUCUCUAGACCAUCAUUUCUCUAGGAGAUGGGAAACCAAAUUUAUCAUCUGAUCUGGAGGCAUAGUGGUCACCGAAUUGGCCUUACUUCUUGAGUUUUUCUCAAAUGUUUUAAUAGAGGUUGAAUCAUUACAUAAAUAACUCCUUGUUCUGUCUUCUUUCUUCUGAUUUAUUUCUUGUAAGUCCUUCCAGGUUCAUCUGAAUCUAUUUUUAUCAUAUGUCAUUACGUUCACGUACCACGAUUUAUUCAGCCAUUCCCCAACUGAUAGACACUUGUUUUGUUUCUAGUUCUUUGUUUAUAAUGAAACAAAGUGCUACUUUUUUUUACACAUGGGUCUUUCCCCUCUUUCUUUGAUCUCUAAGCCUAGCAGUAAAGUAGUAUAGCUGGGAUAUAAGGUAUGUACAAUUUAGUGACUUCGUGGUUAUAGUUCCAAAUUGCUUUCUAGAAUGGUUGGAUCAAGGCAAAAUUCUACAAACAGUACAUUUAUAAUGCUGCCUUCCCAUUGCCACUCCCACAACUACCAUUUCCUUUUCUUUUUUUAAUCAUUUUUUGCAAAUCUGAUCGAUCUGAGGUAGAACCUCAGAGUUUUAAUUUUUUGUCAUAUUAUUAAUGAUUUUGAGGAUUUAAAAAACAUGGCUUUUGAUCACUUGCCUUUCUUCUUUUGAAACCGCUCUUCAUAUCCUUUGACCACUUAUAUAAUGGGAAAUGGCCCUUGUUGCUAUAUAUUUGUAAUAAUUCCCUAUGUAUCAUAGGUAUUAGACCUUUAUUAUAGAGUUUUGUUACAAAGGUUUAUUACAAGCUAUUUCACUUCUACUAACUUAAUUGAUUUUCUUCUGCAGAAGCUUUUUCAUAUAAUCAAGACUGUCUUUUAUCUCCUAUGAUCCUUUCUAUCCUUUUUUUGGUCAAGAAGUCUUUAUCUUUAAUUGUGAAAAGUAUCUUCUUCCCUUCUCCUCUAAGUUGUGAUAUAAUUGUUCAUAUCCUCAUCUUGUGUCCAUUUAUAUAGCUUGUUGUAGUAUAUGGUUGUCUAAAUUAUUUUCUGACAGACUAUUUUGCACCUUUGCCUGUAGUUUUUUGUUGAAGGUUAAAUUCUAUUACUGGCAUGACAUAAUGGAUAGCGAAUCAACUACCUAUAGGCCUAUUUACAAUUCCUAUGAUUGCCUAACUCAAAAUUUCCUAUCCUGGCCACCAUCCUCUUAAAUGUGUUAUUUCCUCCAAUAAUGAUGGAAUCUCCUUGAGGGUAAGGACUCUCACUUUUGUAUUUGUAUCUACACCACUUACACAAAGUGUGAAAUGUUGUAGGUUCUUUUUUUUUAACUUAAAAAAUUUUUAUAUGCAGAAACAAUUUUUGACAAUUAUUAUCUAACAUUUUGCAAUUCAGAUUCUCUCCCACCCUCCCCCUUUUCCCAAGGCAGUAUAUUGAUGGAUAUAGUUAUACUACUGCUGCUAUGCAAUACAUAUUUCCAUAUUCCUCAUGCUGUGAAAGAAGACACAUUAAAACAUGUUUAAAAAACUCACAAAGGUAAUAAAGUGAAAAAAUGGCAUGCUUUGUUUUAUCUACAGUGAAGCUCCAAUAGUUUUUUUUUUUCUUGGUUGUGGAUAAUAUUUUUCAUCAUGAAUCCCUUGGGGUUACCUUAGAACCUUAUUUUGCUGAUAAUAGUUUAAUCUUUCACAGUUGAUCAUUGUAUAAUAUUUCUAUUACUGUAUACACUGUUCUCCUGGUUCUGUUGACUUGACUUAGUUUUGUUCAUAUAAGUCUUUCCAGGUUUUCCAAACUCAUCCUGUUCUUUUUUUUUCUUAUGACACAAUACUAUUCCAUUAUAACUAUAUAUCCACAACUUGUUCACCCAUUGCCCAAUUGAUGGACAUCUUCUUAGUUUCUAGUUCUUUGCCACAACAAAAAGAACAGCUAAAAUAUUUUUGUACAAGUAGGGCCUUUCCCCCAAUCUCUGAUCUCUUUGGGAUAUAGUCCCAGUAUUAGUAUUACUGGGUCAAAAGGUAUGCAUACUUUCAUGACUCGUUGGGUGUGGUUCCAAAUUGCUUUCCAGAAUGGUUGUUUUAAUUCAUAAUUCCACCAAUAGUGUAUUAGUGCCCCAAUUUUCUCACACUCCUCUGACAUUUACCAUUUUCCUUUUUGAUCAUUUUAGCCAAUCUGAUAGGUGUGGAGUGAUAUCGUGGAGUUGUUUUAAUUUGCAUUUCUCUAGUCAAGAGUGAUUUGGAAUAUUUUUUUCAUAUGACUACAGAGAGUUUAAAUAUUUUCAUCUGAGAAUUGCCUGUUCAUAUCCUUUGACCAUUUAUCAAUUGGGGAAUACUUUGUAUUAUACUGGUUCAGUUCUCUAUAUGUUUGAGAAAUUUGGCCUUUGUCAGAGAUUUUUGUUAUAAAGAUUUUUUCCUAAUUUGUUGUUUCCCUUCUAAUCUUCG